AUUGAACGCUGGCGGCAUGCUUUACACAUGCAAGUCGAACGGCAGCGCGGUGCAACCUGGCGGCGCGUGGCGGACGGGCGAGUAAUAUAUCCGAACGUACCCUGACCUGGGGUAUAACGUAGCUUAAGUUACCCUAAUAUCGCAUCCGAUCUACGCAUGAGAUUCGUGGUCCGCAAUGGCUUAUGUUGUUGGAUCGGCCGAGAUCUGAUUAGUUAGAUGUUGAGGUAAAGGCUCACGAAGGCGAGGAUCAGUACCUGUUCUGAGAGGACGACCGGCCACACGGGAAGUGAGACACGGACAAGACGCCUAAGAGAGGCAGCAGUGUGGAAUGGUGGACAAUGGGCGGGAGCCUGAUCCAGCAAUGCGGCGUGAGUGACGAAGGCGUUCGGGUUGUGAAGAUGUUCUGUCAGGGAAGAAACGGUAGAGGCUAAUAUGCUGUGCUAAUGACGGUACCGGAAGAAUAAGCACAGGCUAACUACGUG
rnacentral:rRNA from 1 species